GGGGGACGAUAACGGCGUCGAGCGGCGGACGGGUGAGUAAUGCCUAAGAAAUUGCCCUGGUGUGGGGGAUAACCAUUGGAAACGAUGGCUAAUACCGCGUGAUGCCUACGGGCCAUAGAGGGGGACCUUCGGGCCUCUCGCGGCAGGAUAUGCCUAUGUGGGAUUAGCUAGUUGGUGAGGUAAGGGCUCGCCAAGGCGACGAUCCCUAACUGGUCUGAGAGGAUGAUCAGCCACACUGGAACUGACACACGGUCCAGACUCCUACGGGAGGCAGCAGUGGGGAAUAUUGCACAAUGGGCGCAAGCCUGAUGCAGCCAUGCCGCGUGUGUGAAGAAGGCCUUCGGGUUGUAAAGCACUUUCAUGCGUGAGGAAGGGAGUG
rnacentral:rRNA from 1 species